AUGGACAGCUUGCCGAAACGGGACGCCAACUACGUCCCCCUGAGCCCCGUCACCUUCCUGCCUCGCGCCGCCGCCGUCUACGCCAAUCGCACCUCCCUCGUCUGCGGCGGCACCGCCUUCACCUGGCGCCAGACGCACGACCGAUGCCUCCGUCUCGCCGCGGCGCUCCAGGCCCUCGCCGUAUCCAGGAACGACGUCGUGUCCGUCCUCGCGCCCAACACGCCGGCGCUAUACGAGAUGCACUUCGCGGUCCCCAUGGCCGGCGCGGUCAUCAACGCCAUCAACACCCGCCUGGACGCUGCCGGCGUCGCCGCCAUCCUCAGGCACGCCGCCCCAAAGCUCCUCUUCGUGGACUACCAGUACAUCCGCGUCGCCACUGACGCCCUCAAAAGCAUCGCCAUCGACGCGGCCUUGCCGUUGCUGGUGGUCAUCGACGACAUCGACGCGCCGACAGGAGCGCGCGUGGGUGAGCUCGAGUACGAGGAUUUGCUGGCGCGAGGAGACCCGACGAGGCACCCGCCGCGCGUUGUCGAGGACGAGUGGGACGCCGUCGCGCUCAACUACACCUCCGGCACGACGUCGGCGCCCAAGGGCAUCGUGUACAGCCACCGCGGCGCGUACCUGAGCACGGUGGGGCUUCUACUCCAGUGGGGCGUGGCGCACGAGCCAGUGUACCUCUGGUCGCUCCCCAUGUUCCACUGCAACGGCUGGACCUUCACGUGGGGCGUGGCAGCGCGCGGCGGCGUCAAUGUCUGCGUCCGCACGCCCACCGCCGACGCCAUAUACUCCGCGAUCGCCGACCACGGCGUCACCCACAUGUGCGCGGCGCCUGUGCUGUUCAACAUCCUUCUAGAAUCUCGCCGCGAGCCGUUGACACGCCGCGUCGAGGUGCUCACUGGUGGCGCGGCGCCGCCGGCGCCACUGCUUGAGCGCGUGGAACAGCUCGGCUUCCACGUCACGCAUGCCUACGGCAUGACGGAGGCGACUGGACCAGCCAUGGUGUGCGAGUGGCGUGAGCAAUGGGACGCGCUACCGCCGCCCAAGCGCGCGCUGCUCAAGGCACGGCAGGGCGUGAGCGCGCUCUCCCUCGCCGAUGCCGACGUGAAGGACCUCAAUACCAUGCGGAGCGUGCCGCGGGACGGCGCUACCCUCGGCGAGAUCGUGCUCCGCGGGAGCAGCGUCAUGAAGGGAUACUAUAAGAACCCCGAGGCCACGGCGUCGGCUUUCCGCAGCGGGUGGUUCCUGACCGGCGACGUGGGCGUGGUGCACCCGGACGGGUACGUGGAGAUCAAGGACCGGUCCAAGGACGUGAUCAUAUCCGGCGGCGAGAACAUCAGCAGCGUGGAGGUUGAGGCGGCGCUGUACGGUCACCCGGCAGUGCUUGAGGCGGCGGUGGUCGCCAUGCCGCACCCGCACUGGGGCGAGACGCCGUGCGCGUUCGUCGCGCUGAAGAAACAGUCCGACUCCGGCGCUGCCGAGGUGAGCGAGGAGGAGCUUGUGUCCUUCUGCCGGAGCAAGAUGGCGCACUUCAUGGUGCCGAGGAAGGUGGUGUUCGUCGACGAUCUGCCCAAGAACGCCACGGGCAAGGUGCAGAAGCUCGCGCUACGCGAGAGAGCGCGCGGGCUCGAGCCCAGAGAUUCUGACAAGAAGAGGGCUGAGCCGGCCCAACCCGCCACAUCCAGGCUUUGA
rnacentral:rRNA from 1 species